rnacentral:rRNA from 1 species
UUGAACGCUGGCGGCAUGCCUUACACAUGCAAGUCGAACGGUAACAGGUCUUCGGAUGCUGACGAGUGGCGAACGGGUGAGUAAUACAUCGGAACGUGCCCGAUCGUGGGGGAUAACGCAGCGAAAGCUGUGCUAAUACCGCAUACGAUCUACGGAUGAAAGCGGGGGACCGUAAGGCCUCGCGCGAUCGGAGCGGCCGAUGUCAGAUUAGGUAGUUGGUGGGGUAAAGGCUCACCAAGCCGACGAUCUGUAGCUGGUCUGAGAGGACGACCAGCCACACUGGGACUGAGACACGGCCCAGACUCCUACGGGAGGCAGCAGUGGGGAAUUUUGGACAAUGGGCGCAAGCCUGAUCCAGCAAUGCCGCGUGCAGGAAGAAGGCCUCCGGGUUGUAAAGCUCUUUCGGCGGGGAAGAAAUCGCACGGGUUAAUACCUCGUGUGGAUGACGGUACCCGAAUAAGAAGCACCGGCUAACUACGU